UUAAAGUCUAACCUGCCCACUGAAAAUUUAAAUGGCCGCAGUAUUCUAACUGUGCAAAGGUAGCAUAAUCAUUAGUCUUUUAAUUGAAGGCUGGAAUGAAUGGUUGGACGAAAUAUUAACUGUUUCAUUUAAAUUUUUUAUAGAAUUUUAUUUUUUAGUCAAAAAGCUAAAAUAAAUUUAAAAGACGAGAAGACCCUAUAAAUCUUUAUAUUUUAUUUAUUUUAAUUAUAAAGAUUAUUUUUGUUAUAAUAAAUAAAAAUAUUUUAUUGGGGUGAUAUUAAAAUUUAAAAAACUUUUAAUUUUAAAAUCCAUUAAUUUAUGAAUAAUUGAUCCAUUAAUAAUGAUUAAAAAUUUAAGUUACUUUAGGGAUAACAGCGUAAUUUUUUUGGAGAGUUCAUAUCGAUAAAAAAGAUUGCGACCUCGAUGUUGGAUUAAGAUAUAAUUUUGGGUGUAGCCGUUCAAAUUUUAAGUCUGUUCGACUUUUAAAUUCUUACAUGAUCUGAGUUCAAACCGGCGUAAGCCAGGUUGGUUUCUAUCUUUAAAAAAUUGUAAUAUUUUAGUACGAAAGGACCAAAUAUUAAAAUAAUUAUAUUUUUAAUAAGAAUAUUAUUAAUACAG
rnacentral:rRNA from 1 species